rnacentral:misc_RNA from 1 species
GAUGAAGAACGUAGCGAAAUGCGAUACGUAAUGUGAAUUGCAGAUUUCAGUGAAUCAUCGAAUCUUUGAACGCACAUUGCGCCCGCUAGUAUUCUGGCGGGCAUGCCUGUUCGAGUGUCAUUUCAACCAUCAAGCCCUAGGCUUGCGUUGGAGCCCUGCGGCUGCCGCAGGCUCCCAAAUCCAGUGGCGGGCUCGUCGUCGUACCGAGUGCAGUAAACAUCCUCGCUCAGGGAACGUGACGGGUUCUUGCCGUGAAACCCCCCACAUAUCAAGGUUGACCUCGGAUCAGGUAGGAAUACCCGCUGAACUUAAGCAUAUCAAUAAGCGGAGGA